rnacentral:misc_RNA from 1 species
AAGGAUUCCCGCAUUCGGCUUGGCCAGCAGCAGGCCCGUCGGAUUGCCAUUCGCAUCGCGAGUGAUCUCGCCGCCCGGCGGGUUCGGCGUAUCCUUGGUGUAGCCGACGGCACGCAGCGCGGCGCNNNNNNNNNNNACGAUCGUAGAGGUGGAGCAGGAAAACCGGCGUGUCCGGCGCAACCGCAUUGAGCUCGUCGAUGGUCGGCAAUCGCUUUUCGACGAACUGAUGCUCCGUGA